rnacentral:rRNA from 1 species
UGCGAUCAUACCAGCACUAAUGCACCGGAUCCCAUCAGAACUCCGCAGUUAAGCGUGCUUGGGCGAGAGUAGUACUAGGAUGGGUGACCCCUUGGGAAGUCCUCGUGUUGCA